GACGAAUGCUGGCUGCGUGCUUAACACAUGCAAGUCGAACGGUGAACCAGGGCUUGCCCUGGGGAUCAGUGGCGAACGGGUGAGUAACACGUGGGCAACCUGCCCCUCACUCUGGGAUAAGCCCGGGAAACCGGGUCUAAUACCGGAUAUGACCUCGUGCGACAUCACAUGAGGUGGAAAGAACUUCGGUGAGGGAUGGGCCCGCGGCCUAUCAGCUAGUUGGUGGGGUAACGGCCCACCAAGGCGACGACGGGUAGCCGGCCUGAGAGGGCGACCGGCCACACUGGGACUGAGACACGGCCCAGACUCCUACGGGAGGCAGCAGUGGGGAAUAUUGCGCAAUGGGCGAAAGCCUGACGCAGCGACGCAGCGUGAGGGAUGACGGCCUUCGGGUUGUAAACCUCUUUCAGCGGGGACGAAGCGAAAGUGACGGUACCUAAAGAAGAAGCACCGGCUAACUACGUGCCAGCCGCCGCCGUAACAC
rnacentral:rRNA from 1 species